UCACAGUCAACAUGUACAUCAACCAAACCUUCCAUACAAUCACUGCCAGCAUCAUCAUUAACAUCAUCACUAUUAGAACUCUAACUACGAACAUGACCAACAUCAUCAUUAACAUCCCCUUCACACUCAAUUUCACCUUCAACAACAUGAUGACCCUCAUAUAUUUCUUCUGAAACAACAAUAGUUUCACUCCUACCAUCACAUUGACCUCUCUCACCUUCAUUGGCAGCCACCUCACGUUGUCUUUCCUCAUCCUAUUGACAUUCACCCCCAGUAUCCUAUUCACAUUCACCCU
rnacentral:lncRNA from 1 species